ensembl:snRNA U6 U6 spliceosomal RNA
GUGCUCACUUUGGGUGCACAUACUAAAAUUGGAACAAUACAGAGAAGAUUAACAUGGCCUCUGCGCAAGAAUGACAUGCAAAUUCAUGAGGCUUUUUUUUUAAAU